AUGAGAAAGAAAGAUCCUGCCCGGAGGGAAUCCCGGGACACCCCUCUCCGGAGAUCCUCUCGUCUGCAACCGGAGAAAGUAGAGCCAGAGGUGAGAUCGGGAGAUGCCGACAAGCAGGUGUCGAGAGAACCGCCGAGCCUGAAAGGAAGUCGCUCGAAUGACAUCCUCCAGCCCCGAGAGAGCAUCAAAGCGCACAGGAAGCGGGUUGAUCUCUCCGAAGACGACUCCCCCCCAGAUCCGCUCCGUGGUCCGUUGCCGCAGUCCGAACCAGAAGCUCGGAAAGACGACAGACCGAGCGUUUCGGAGAGCGAGAGCCCGCUGUCCCCGUUUGUCAGGCUAAGGAGGCUGGCUGCUCCUCCGGAAGAAGAGAUUCCCGGACGCCGAAAGGGGGAAGAGGAGCUGCAGAAACCCAACCUUGACUGGGAAGUGGUGAAGGACGAGAGGGCUCGGCUGUGGGUACUGGAGACUCGGAGGCCCCAAAGCAUGAAGGGGGCACCCCCAGCGGAAGAGGUGACACCCAGCUUACAAAGCCCAGUGGAAAACAAAGCCCUUGGGAAACCAGCCAGGGCAGGAAUCGGCAGCAGAGCUGGCUGGGGACUGAGAAUGGAGAAGACUGCCCCUUCCAUGCUGCGGGCUGAAGUUUUGCCAGCAGGGAAACCGAGCAGAAAGGGGAUCUUGGUAUGUUUUUUGGGAGGGUCCCAAAUACCUGUGAGCACUAUACAAGUGGUGCCUCGCUAGACGAUGAUAAUCUGUUCCAUUGAAAUCGCUGUUUAGUGAAAUCAUCGUCUAGCGAAAAGCAUUUCCCCAUUGGAAUGCAUUGAAACCUGAUCAGCAAGGAACUCAGGGGUCAACCCCACACACUCCUUCUAGCAGUAAAUCACAUUUACUCAGAUACAGGAGGGGCCCCCCAUCCAUGGGAUCGGUAUCCGCUGAUUCCCUUAUCCAUAGGCUGAAAA
rnacentral:lncRNA from 1 species